AGAGUUUGAUCCUGGCUCAGGAUUAACGCUAGCAACGUGCCUAAGGUAUGCAAGUCGAACGGUUAAAUUUUUGUAGCAAUACAGAAAUUUGACAGUGGCAAACGGCUGAGUAACACGUGGGAACUUACCCUUAAGUUUGGCAUAGCUCACCGAAAGGUGGGGUAAAACCAAAUAGUCUCUUCGGAGUAAAACUUCGGUGC
rnacentral:rRNA from 1 species